UACGAAGGGGGCUAGCGUUGCUCGGAAUCACUGGGCGUAAAGGGUGCGUAGGCGGCCAACUAAGUCGGAUGUGAAAUCCCCAAGCUUAACUUGGGAACGGCAUCCGAUACUGGAUGGCUUGAAUCCGGGAGAGGGAGGCAGAAUUCCAGGUGUAGCGGUGAAAUGCGUAGAUAUCUGGAGGAACACCGGUGGCGAAGGCGGCAUCCUGGACCGGCACUGACGCUGAGGAACGAAAGCGUGGGGAGCAAACGGG
rnacentral:rRNA from 1 species